CUAGAAAAACAGGACUCGAACCUGCACACUAAAACUCAAAACUUUAUGUACUUCAUUAUACUACCCUCUA
rnacentral:tRNA from 1 species